GACGAACGCUGGCGGCGUGCUUAACACAUGCAAGUCGAACGGAAAGGCCCUGCUUUUGUGGGGUGCUCGAGUGGCGAACGGGUGAGUAACACGUGAGUAACCUGCCCUUGACUUUGGGAUAACUUCAGGAAACUGGGGCUAAUACCGGAUAGGAGCUCCUGCUGCAUGGUGGGGGUUGGAAAGUUUCGGCGGUUGGGGAUGGACUCGCGGCUUAUCAGCUUGUUGGUGGGGGAGUGGCUUACCAAGGCUUUGACGGGUAGCCGGCCUGAGAGGGUGACCGGCGACAUUGGGACUGAGAUACGGCCCAGACUCCUACGGGAGGCAGCAGUGGGGAAUAUUGCACAAUGGGCGGAAGCCUGAUGCAGCAACGCCGCGUGCGGGAUGACGGCCUUCGGGUUGAAAACCGCUUUCGCCUGUGACGAAGCUGGAGUGACGGUAAUGGGUAAAGAAGCACCGGCUAACUACGUG
rnacentral:rRNA from 1 species